ACGAACGCUGGCGGCGUGCUUAACACAUGCAAGUCGAACGGAAAGGCCCUGCUUUUGUGGGGUGCUCGAGUGGCGAACGGGUGAGUAACACGUUAGUAACCUGCCCUUGACUUUGGGGUAACUUCAAGAAACUGGGGCUAAUACCGGAUAGGAGCUCCUGCUGCCUGGUGGGGGGUGGAAAGUUUCGGCGGUUGGGGAUGGACUCGCGGCUUAUCAGCUUGUUGGUGGGGUAGUGGCUUACCAAGGCUUUGACGGGUAGCCGGCCUGAGAGGGUGACCGGCCACAUUGGGACUGAGAUACGGCCCAGACUCCUACGGGAGGCAGCAGUGGGGAAUAUUGCACAAUGGGCGGAAGCCUGAUGCAGCAACGCCGCGUGCGGGAUGACGGCCUUCGGGUUGUAAACCGCUUUCGCCUGUGACGAAGCGUGAGUGACGGUAAUGGGUAAAGAAGCACCGGCUAACUACGUG
rnacentral:rRNA from 1 species